UUCCAAAUGGUGUAAAAGCAUAUUGGAGAUGCCACAAAUCAUUAUACUAAACACCUCUAGAUUCAUAACUCAGAUUUAAAAGUACAACAUUUAUGUAACAUUCCUGUUUACUUUCAGAUAUGGCAAAGCUCUGAUUACAUUGUCAUAGUCACUUCUGUUGACCUGGAUCUGUACACGGCAAGGAAAAAAAGUUAGAGAUGAGAAAAUCGACUCAAUAACUUAACAUGUGUGUGUGUGCAUUUCAGAGCUGAAUAAGAAAAUUCCGAGAGAACGUUAAGUAAAAAUAACUUCAACAAAUUAAAGGCCAAGUUUCAGUUCAAUCCAAGUCAGACACUCAAGCCCUCUACAGUAUAUCAAGCAUCAUUCUAGAAAUCCGCGUGCUGUUAGGAUGGAUGUGAGUUUAGUAAAAUUGUGAAAGUCAAGAUGAGAUGAAAUCAAAGAGCUGGAAUUCUCUACUGUGAGUAAUAUUCAAUUAGUGUCUCACAAAACAAUCAACUUCCACUGCAGUUUAGUUCAAUUGAUAAUCUGAAUUAGUUUAUCAAGUUCCAAUGACAUUACUUUGAUCCACACAUUUCACAGAAGACUGUAAAUUAUCAAUUCGCAUAAAUUUGCAGAUAAAUUUCAGCGAUAAAUAUUGGCUCAAGUCCUGAUUCACAAUUUUUUUUUAUCUGAAUAAUAAUACAGAUGCCAUAUAAUGCUGCUUUUUACAUAUAUCCAGUUCAAAUCCAUGUUGGAAUAGCUAAUUUAAAGCAUCUACAACAGUAUAGAUCAUUCAAAGACAAUGGUAGAAACUGAAAUGUUAUUAGAGAAUGUAGACAACAACACCCUAAAAUACAAACAAUCAGCAGAGAUUUGAGGUCUUGCCACGCUCCCAAAUGCCCAAAGGCCCCUCCUUCAAACUGACAAGAUAGAUCACUCUCUAAGGCUCCCCUCUUAUUUACAGACAACAUGGCUUAUUUCCUAGUUAGGUAACUUACUAACUUCUCUUAAGCUAUUAACAUAACAUAUGCUUCACUCAGGCCCGUAUCUAUCAGAAAUAUGUCAACUUUAGAGUAUAAUAGAACAUUGUACAGUGUUCUUAACAAUAUCCACUACUUGAUACUGACCGCUACAACGAGUAAAUUCCACAUUCUCAUACAAUACUACCUGGCCAAGGAAACCUAUAACAAAGUAUCUUUGUAAGAAACAAGAAUUGUGCAUUCUUGAUAUGAACUUGGUAUAUGGUAAAUUUAAACUGGAGAAUUGCACAAAAUUAGAAAUCUUCAAGAUAGAGAAAAGGUUAAGGACCAAACUUAAUGUGUGAUAAUUGAUAAUUAAUAGGAUAGGAAGGGGAAAGGCAAACUCUUUCCGAGUUUUUUUUAAGACCUUUCUACUCAAAAUUGAUGCAUAAGAUCAAAAUGGCUCUCAGGUUAUGAGUAUAU
rnacentral:lncRNA from 1 species